UUUUUAAAAAAUAGAUUUAAAAUUUUGACAUUAUUUCAAAAUUUUGAUGUAAAUUUUUAAUAUUUAAUUUUUAAUUUGAAUUUAAAGUAAUAUAUUAUAAAAAUAAAGUUAAUAUAUUAAUCUGAUUACGUUUUUUAUAUUUACCUAAACCAAACACCGACAAUGAAAAUGAUUUAUUCCAAUUCCGAUUCAGGUGAUGAACCAAACAGAAUUAGGUAAUGAGUCAUUUCGAUUCUGAUUCCAACUUAUUUCGAUUCCGAUUCUGAUUUCGAUUCCGACUUCGAACCAAACACGCCCCAAAAGUGUAGAUGCGAACUGGCCAUAGGAUUAUGAUGACUUAGGAUGUAAUUACUCCUUGUUGGGAUUUUGAUGUAAGGUCCUAAUAGGGACUCCAUCAUAUGAUAAUUGGGUCCGCAUGUGAGAAUGAGAGACGUUGCAUGAUGUCGCGUCAGACUUUUGGCUGCAGGCCUAUGAAGGAUCGUCAGUCGGU
rnacentral:lncRNA from 1 species